CAAUAGCGUAUAUUAAAGUUGUUGCAGUUAAAAAGCUCGUAGUUGGACUUCUGAUGUGGAGGGACGGUCCGCCUCACGGUGAGCACUGAUUCUUCACGUCUUCCUCUCGUAGUCUUUUGGCGCACUUAGUUGGGUGCCUUUAGAAUAUGGGACCUUUACUUUGAAAAAUUAGAGUGUUCAAAGCAGGCAAUCGCUUGAAUACAUUAGCAUGGAAUAAUGGAAUAGGACUACGGUCUCUUUGUUGGUUUGAGGGACUGCAGUAAUGAUUAAUAGGGACAGUUGGGGGCGAUUCGUAUUUCUAUUGUCAGAGGUGAAAUUACUUGGAUUUAUUGAAAGACGAACUUCUGCGAAAGCAUUUGUCCAAGGAUGUUUUCUAUUAAUCAAGAACGAAAGUUGGAGGCUCGAAGACGAUCAGAUACCGU
rnacentral:rRNA from 1 species